GGUGUUGCACAGUGGCAGUAUCAUAGCUAAUGAGAUUAAUCCGAGGCGUGAUUAUUGCUAGUUGAAAACUUUUCCCUAAGUCCUUUAAACAUUGCCAGAGUGGCAUAAAGGGGACACAUAGCUCAAUGGAGAAUUGCCCCCUCCUUUUUUUAUUUUAAAUUAAUGUCUAGAACCUGAAGUUA
rnacentral:snRNA from 1 species